CCUACGGGAGGCAGCAGUGAGGAAUAUUGGUCAAUGGGCGCGAGCCUGAACCAGCCAAGUAGCGUGAAGGAUGACUGCCCUAUGGGUUGUAAACUUCUUUUACAGGGGAGCAAAGUGACGCACGUGUGCGUUUUUGUAUGUACCUGAUGAAUAAGCAUCGGCUAACUCCGUGCCAGCAGCCGCGGUAAUACGGAGGAUGCGAUCGUUAUCCGGAUUUAUUGGGUUUAAAGGGAGCGUAGGUGGGUUGUUAAGUCAGGUGUGAAAGUUUGCGGCUCAACCGUAGAAGUGCAGUUGAAACUGGCAGCCUUGAGUAGGCGUGAGGUAGGCGGAAUGCGUGGUGUAGCGGUGAAAUGCUUAGAUAUCACGAAGAACUCCGAUUGCGAAGGCAGCGUACUGGACUGCAACUGACGCUGAAGCUCGAAGGUGUGGGUAUCAAACAGGAUUAGAUACCCUUGUAGUC
rnacentral:rRNA from 1 species